UAAUUUUUUAGUAUAAUACUGUACAUUUAGCUUCCAACUAAAAAGUCUAAUUUUAGAAAAAUU
rnacentral:tRNA from 1 species